AGAGGACUUCCAGGUGCUCUCUGAAUGUGGGUGGGUCCUGUAUGUGUGUGUGCGCGCGAGAGAGAGUGUAUGAGCAGAGCUUCACAUGUGGGCUGCUGUGACUCGUCGGAGGAUGCUUGCCGGCUCUCUGCCUGCAAGGUCUCACUGUUCCGAUCACCCAUCUGCCUUACUAAAGGGGACGGAGACAGAAGCAGGGCUGGAGGGACGCUGCUAAGAGAGGUGCAAUCGCCGCAAAGAUGUUUUUCUUAGACGCUCCAACAGACAGGAAUCUACUGGCAAGAAGAAAGCCCCGGUCUUCCCCGCGAGAGUACAAAGCCCCCCAGUCUGCACACAGCAGAUGCAGGAAAGCUAGUCCAUCUGCCACCAGCUUGCUGAGCCACAUGGGCCUGAGAGCUUUAAUGAAAGUGGGGAGGGGGGGGACAUUUAUUUCUUUAUCUCCAAAGGUCUCUAUUAUUUACAUAAUAGAAAAAAAGUUUGGAACAAAAUCACUGCAUCCAUCACUGGAUAUACAAACAGAAAUAUCUAAUGCAUUUACAGCAUGAUUUAUUGUAAUUAUUGAAAACAAAAAAGAUUAAAGAAUUCCUACUGCUAGAAAAUUAUGUUAAAUUAAUAAUUUUUAUGGGAUUAUUGCUUCUAACAAUAGCAAAUAAUUAAAAGUUUUAUUUUACUGUUAAUAAAGAAAAUAUUUUUGAACAAAUCUCUGCUUUUGAUGCCUUUUUUUUGCCUCCAGGAAGUAUUACCGAAUUUUUCAUGUUUUUUAGCAGUUAAAAUAUGCAAAACCCUUUUCUCAGACAGCUCAAAAGUGCAACACAGCAACAGGUAAGGGAGGGGCAGAGCUACAUUCCCCUCUGUUCAGAUGGAGAAAACUUUGGUCACAUCCUCUUUCUUUUCUUAGCAUCCCACCAAAAUGUCUUAAAAUUACAGAAAUAGAGUAUUUCGGUGCAUCGUUGACACAAUUCAAUAUCAGUAACCAGCCCAUGUCCAUAUGGAUUUAUUAGAAGUAUAAAAAAGGUUAAACACCACUUUACCUCCAAGCUCUGAGCUGUGCACUAGUAUGAUUUAACAGGCUCUGAGUAGUACAUUAUCUCUGCGGCCUUGCUGAGGCAUAUUUCAGCUGCAUGAUAUUAUUAAGAGCCGUAACACAGACCAAAAGAUGUAGCGUUUUCAUUAGUGUCAACCGUCAGAGCUCUGAGGUGGAGGGGAUAAACACUAAACAAGCACGGCAGAGUGAGAGCGUGAAAGAGUCGAGGAGUUCAGGGCAGGGAAUCAAAAGGGGCUAACAUUAAAGAACUACUGUUAAUUGCUCUAAGCAUCAACAUUAUUCAAGUAAUUUCUCCCAUUUCUCUUUCAGUGCCAAAGGCGUAAGACUAGAAAGCUCCCCAGUAACAUUUGCUCCUCUAAAGGAGGAGGAGUGGGAGGGAGGGGGGGGGGUUGUUAUGCCCAUUUCUUCAUAUUACCGACACUGUGUGCA